rnacentral:rRNA from 1 species
AUGAGCAGUUCAGCAGAUCCGCUUGACCACCAUCCGGGCGGCAUCAAUUCCAUAUCGAAUGAAGAAAUAAGAGCCGACGAGUGCGCCGCGGGCAUAGCUCAGAUGUCGGUCAAAGAGGCGCGCGCACUGUCGACAGUAACUGAAGCUGACGAGCUCGAUUCUUCUAAUGGAAGCACAGAGCAGCACGUCUCAACAGUUCUGGACGGAGAUCCUGGUUCGAAAUCAAGAACUCCAAAUCUGAUUGACGUGGAAAGGGAAAAGAGUGGCUGGGUUCGUCGUCACAGACGGCGCUAUGCCUGA